GCACAAGCAGCGGAGCGUGUGGUUUAAUUCGAUGCUACACGAAGAACCUUACCAGGGUUUGACAUGCAAGUGGUAGGAAACUGAAAAGGGACGACCCUUCGGGAGCUUGCACAGGUGCUGCAUGGCUGUCGUCAGCUCGUGUCGUGAGAUGUUCGGUUAAGUCCGCUAACGAGCGCAACCCUCACUGUGUGUUAUAUGUGUCACACGGGACUGCCGGUUUUAAGCCGGAGGAAGGUGGGAUGACGUCAAGUCAGCAUGGCCUUUAUAUCCUGGGCUACACACACGCUACAAUGGUCGGUACAAUAGGUUGCCAAGCCGCGAGGCGGAGCCAAUCCAAAAAAGCCGGCCUCAGUUCAGAUUGUAGGCUGCAACUCGCCUGCAUGAAGAUGGAGUUGCUAGUAACCGCAGGUCAGCAAUACUGCGGUGAAUACGUUCCCGGGUCUU
rnacentral:rRNA from 1 species